AUGGACCUGCGCCGCAAGGGCCGGCGCGAGGCGCGGCUCAAGCAGGAGAUCGAGAAGUACCGUGCCUCCAGCCCUAAGAUCACCGAGCAGUUUGCCGAUCUCAAGAGGAAAUUAACAGAUGUUUCAGUGCAGGAGUGGGAGAGCAUACCUGAAAUCGGGGACUACUCGGCGCGCAACAAAAGAAGCGCUUCGAGAGCUUCGUGCCGUGCCGGACACUCUGCUCGAGAAGGCCCGGCAGGAGCACGGGCAUGUCACGGCGCUGGACCCCAAGAGCAGCGCCGCUGGUGGCACAGAGACGCCGUGGGCGAGGGCCGCGGUACCGUGCUUUCGCUCAAGUUGGACAGGUUGUCGGAUUCAGUUUCGGGGCUCACUGUUGUUGAUACAAAAGGAUACCUUACAGACUUGAACAUCAUGAAAAUUGCUAGCAAUUAUUUCAGCAGCAAUGCCGAGAUCUCUGACAUUAAGAAGGCAAGACUGCUGCUCAGGUCCAUAACGCAGACAAACCCAAAGCAUCCUCCUGGUUGGAUUGCUGCUGCUAGGCUCGAAGAGGUUGCUGGCAAGCUCCAGUCUGCUUGGCAGCUCAUUCAGCGUGGCUGCGAGGAGUUCCCCAAAAAUGAAGAUGUUUGGAUCGAGGCAUGCCGGUUGGCUAGCCCAAAAGAGUCCAAGGCGGUCAUUGCCAGGGGUGUCAAGGCAAUUCCCAAUUCUGUGAAGCUGUGGCUGCAGGCUGCAAAACUAGAGACUAGUGAUUUGAACAAGAGCAGGGUUUUGAGGAAGGGGCUGGAGCACAUUCCUGGUUCAGCAGGCUAUGGAAGGCUGAUGUUGCUUCACAGGGCUGUGGAGUGCUGCCCACUUCAUGUCGACCUGUGGCUUGCCCUCGCAAGGCUCGAGACAUAUGAUAAGGCAAGGAAGGUGCUUAAUAAAGCCAGGGAGAAGCUCGACAAGGAACCUGCCAUUUGGAUUACAGCUGCAAAGCUAGAGGAAGCUAAUGAGAAUACCCAAUCUGUAAGCAAGAUGAUUGAGAGAGGUGUAGGAUCUUUGCAGAGAGGGGGGUUGGAUAUUGACAGGGAGGCAUGGCUAAAAGAAGCCGAAGCUGCAGAGCGGGCCGGGUCUGUGCUUACUUGCCAGGCUAUUGUCAAAAACACUAUCGGAUUUGGGGUUGAUGAUGAGGACCGGAAGCGAACAUGGGUUGCGGAUGCAGAGGAAUGCACGAAACGAGGUUCAAUUGAGACAGCUCGGGCCAUCUAUGCACAUGAUCUUGGCGUGUUCAUUACCAAGAAGAGUAUAUGGCUUAAAGCGGCGCAGCUUGAGAAGAGCCAUGGGACAGGAGAAUCUCUUGAAGUCGUUCUCGUAAAGGCUGUCAAGUACAAUCCAAAAGCCGAAGUGUUAUGGCUUAUGCAUGCUAAGGACAAAUGGCUGGCUGGCGAUGUCCACGCAGCUCGGGCCGUUCUUCAGGAAGCUUAUGCUGCUAUCCCCAUUUCAGAGGAGAUCUGGUUAGCUGCAUUCAAGUUAGAGUUCGAGAACAACGAACCGGAGAGAGCAAGAAUGCUUUUGACCAAGGCCAGGGAAAGAGGAGGAGCUGAGAGGGUUUGGAUGAAAUCAGCAAUUGUUGAGAGGGAACUAGGAAAUGUGAAUGAGGAAAGGAGAAUGUUGGUGGAAGGCCUGAAGUUAUUCCCCUCAUUCUUCAAAUUGUGGUUAAUGCUACGGCAGAUGGAAGCCCGGAUUGGCCAUGGAGCGAUGGCAAAGGAGGUAUACGAGAAUGGACUCACGCACUGCCCCGGUUGCAUCCCUCUUUGGCUCUCGCUAGCUAGUCUAGAGGAGAGGAUAAAUGGCUUGAGCAAGUCACGCGCAUUCCUCACCAUGGCAAGGAAAAAGAAUCCAGCGACACCUGAACUAUGGCUUGCAGCUAUUCGAGCUGAAUUGGGGCAUGGAAACAACCAAGAAGCUGAUUCUCUACUAGCCAAGGCAUUGCAAGAGUGUCCAACAAGUGGUGUUUUGUGGGCUGCAGCUAUAGAGAUGGUGCCACGUCCCCAACGCAAAUCAAAGAGCUCAGAUGCUCUAAAGAGAUGUGAUCAUGAUCCGGAUGUCAUCGCAGCUGUAGACAAAUUUUUCUGGCAUGACAGGAAGGUUGAUAAAGCAAGAAGUUGGUUCAACAGAGCUGUUACUCUUGCUCCUGAUAUUGGGGAUUUUUGGGCGUUGUACUGUAAAUUUGAACUUCAGCAUGGAAAUGCAGAUACGCAAAGGGAUAAAUGGCAAGCUACAAGCAAGGCUGUUGAGAACUCACAUCAGCCAGUUGAUGCCAUUCUGAGGAGAGUCGUUCUGGCACUUGGUGUGGAAGAAAAUCACAAUGCUGCAGAGCCCUAG
rnacentral:rRNA from 1 species